GGGUAUAUAUUCCGAGUUACGCUUCCCUUUCUCUUCUUGCUACCGUCACCGGGGAAUAUAGCCGAGUAAGGUUUUGAGAAAAAGAGUUCCUCCGCAAUGAGAGCCAAGUGGAAGAAGAAGCGUAUGAGGAGGCUGAAGAGGAAGAGACGAAAGAUGAGACAGCGAUCUAAGUAGACAGAGAGAGACUCCUCUCUUGAAGACUGCGCUUUUCAGUUAUUUCAUUUCGCUAAGUACUUAUAUUUGGAUCUUGUUUCAGUUUGAAGUGUUCUUGUCUUCGUUUUUGUUGGAUUGUAUGGAUCCUCAGUUAACGUUAAAUCUUUAUCUUUCUAAUCAUGUUUUCAUUAAAAUAA